rnacentral:lncRNA from 1 species
CCAGAGACGAGGCUGAAGAGAAGUCUGAGGAGAAGCAAUGAAUCAUUCAGUCUUUUUCCUUUCCCUUUCUUUUUAAAUAUUUGCCCCACCCUUUAAGGUAUGUUUUUAUUCUGUUUUGUUUUUACAAGGGACUUUAUAAAGAACUGAAUUCCAACCUUCAGGUUGUUUGUUUUUUUAUUUUUUUUAACUUUUUUAUUUCCUCCAAGUUUUGACACCAUUGAACAUGACUUCAGAAAUCCAUUCCCCAGUCAUGAAAAUGUACUGUGCUAACUUUCUUUUCAAUAGUGGAAACACUUAUUUAUAGUCAUCAAAAAUACUGAAUAAAAAAUGCCUUUGAAAACCUGGAAAA